rnacentral:rRNA from 1 species
AUGGUCGCGCAACCCAUCUCCAUCACCAUCGCUUUGCACCUGUACGAUGGGACGCCCCUGUACAACAUGCUUACAUUCGCCGCCGCCACCUCCACUGUUCCGGCUAAAGCUUUGAUGGAUUUGUACACCAACGACAUAUUAAAUAGUCAGACAUUGUUGAAGGAAUUUCUUUGUUGUGUACAACCAUUAGAAAAGAGUUAUGUUGAUUCUUCUGCGCAAUGUCAUAUAAACACUACGCUGCAAACAAUUACCAUGCUUGCAAGGUACGACAAAUCGCAUUUUUAUGGCUGGAAGCAGAAACAUAAAAUGGGUCACCUUUCACCAACCGUACAUAUGAUAGCUUUUAAUAAUAUAGAAAUAUACGAAAAAGGGUUUUUCCCCGCUUUAUAUUAUAAAGCAAACACCCGAUACAUCCAACUCGCUGGGGCUGCAGCACAGAUAAGCCCAAAAGAAAACAAGAAGAAGAAAGAGAAAUAA